UCUCCAGCUGUUUUUGGACUACAAUUCCCAUCAUCCCUUACCAUUGGUCCUAGUAGCUGGGGGUGAUGAGAGUUGUAGUCCCAAAACAGCUGGAGA